AGCAAAGAAGUAAAAUUUACAAUCAGUUUCGACCUGAUAAACAGAAAUAUUUUCCAUGCUU
rnacentral:tRNA from 1 species